rnacentral:rRNA from 1 species
GUACACUCCUGCGGGAGGCAGCAGUGGGGAAUUUUGGACAAUGGGCGAAAGCCUGAUCCAGCAAUGCCGCGUGAGUGAAGAAGGCCUUCGGGUUGUAAAGCUCUUUUGUCAGGGAAGAAACGGUGAGAGCUAAUAUCUCUUGCUAAUGACGGUACCUGAAGAAUAAGCACCGGCUAACUACGUGCCAGCAGCCGCGGUAAUACGUAGGGUGCAAGCGUUAAUCGGAAUUACUGGGCGUAAAGCGUGCGCAGGCGGUUUUGUAAGUCUGAUGUGAAAUCCCCGGGCUCAACCUGGGAAUUGCAUUGGAGACUGCAAGGCUAGAAUCUGGCAGAGGGGGGUAGAAUUCCACGUGUAGCAGUGAAAUGCGUAGAUAUGUGGAGGAACACCGAUGGCGAAGGCAGCCCCCUGGGUCAAGAUUGACGCUCAUGCACGAAAGCGUGGGGAGCAAACAGGAUUAGAAACCCGGGUAGUCCCAUG